GUUAUAGGGUCAAGCGAACAAGUGCAUGUGGUGGAUGCCUUGGCGAUCACAGGCGAUGAAGGACGCGGUAGCCUGCGAAAAGCUACGGGGAGCUGGCAAACGAGCUUUGAUCCGUAGAUGU
rnacentral:rRNA from 1 species